UACGUAGGGUGCAAGCGUUGUCCGGAAUUAUUGGGCGUAAAGAGCUCGUAGGCGGUCUGUCGCGUCUGCUGUGAAAACCCAGGGCUUAACCCUGGGCCUGCAGUGGGUACGGGCAGACUAGAGUGCGGUAGGGGAGAUCGGAAUUCCUGGUGUAGCGGUGAAAUGCGUAGAUAUCUGGAGGAACACCGGUGGCGAAGGCGGCAUCCUGGACCAAUAUUGACGCUGAGGAGCGAAAAGCUAGGGGGAGCAAACGGGG
rnacentral:rRNA from 1 species